rnacentral:rRNA from 1 species
GGAAGUAAAAAUCGUAACAAGGUCUCCGUUGGUGAACCAGCGGAGGGAUCAUUACUGAGUUUACGCUCUAUAACCCUUUGUGAACAUACCUAUAACUGUUGCUUCGGCGGGUAGGGUCUCCGUGACCCUCCCGGCCUCCCGCCCCCGGGCGGGUCGGCGCCCGCCGGAGGAUAACCAAACUCUGAUUUAACGACGUUUCUUCUGAGUGGUACAAGCAAAUAAUCAAAACUUUUAACAACGGAUCUCUUGGUUCUGGCAUCGAUGAAGAACGCAGCGAAAUGCGAUAAGUAAUGUGAAUUGCAGAAUUCAGUGAAUCAUCGAAUCUUUGAACGCACAUUGCGCCCGCCAGCAUUCUGGCGGGCAUGCCUGUUCGAGCGUCAUUUCAACCCUCAAGCUCUGCUUGGUGUUGGGGCCCUACAGCUGAUGUAGGCCCUCAAAGGUAGUGGCGGACCCUCCCGGAGCCUCCUUUGCGUAGUAACUUUACGUCUCGCACUGGGAUCCGGAGGGACUCUUGCCGUAAAACCCCCAAUUUUCCAAAGGUUGACCUCGGAUCAGGUAGGAAUACCCGCUGAACUUAAGCAUAUCAAUAAGCCGGAGG